UCAUAUACUGUCCCUCAGGUCAGCAGUGUUUCAUCAGUGGCAUCAUAUACUGUCCCUCAGGUCAGCAGUGUUUCAUCAGUGGCGUCAUAUACUGUCCCUCAGGUCAGCAGUGUUUCAUCAGUGGCAUCAUAUACUGUCCCUCAGGUCAGCAGUGUUUCAUCAGUGGUGUCAUAUACUGUCCCUCAGGUCAGCAGUGUUUCAUCAGUGGCGUCAUAUACUGUCC